ACAGCAGUAGCCACGGGAAUACGGAGGGAGCUAGCGUUAUUCGGAAUUACUGGGCGUAAAGCGCACGUAGGCGGCUUUGUAAGUAAGAGGUGAAAGCCCGGAGCUCAACUCCGGAACUGCCUUUUAGACUGCAUCGCUUGAAUCCAGGAGAGGUGAGUGGAAUUCCGAGUGUAGAGGUGAAAUUCGUAGAUAUUCGGAAGAACACCAGUGGCGAAGGCGGCUCACUGGACUGGUAUUGACGCUGAGGUGCGAAAGCGUGGGGAGCAAACAGGAUUAGAUACCCCGGUAGUCCCUGUCUCUUAUAU
rnacentral:rRNA from 1 species